GGUGGAGUAAGUUUAAUCCGCUAUUACUCUCGACAGAAAGAUUAAAUGCCUGGUUCAAAGCGAACCCUAAUCUAUGCAAGGCAACAAAAUUAUCUCCUUCAUCAGAUAUUAAUGACUUCUCGUCACUUCACCCGAAGCUUUUAGAAUCAUUAAAAAAGAUUACUGAUCCUCAAGAGUUUUUAGAAAAAGUAAAAGAUGCUAUGUCUGUUCUAUCUGACACCGAAAGUACCAGUAUUACCAGCGCGGCAGAAAAUGAAGAUGACUGUUACGGUAUUCAAGACCUGUAGAUUUGACAUCA
rnacentral:lncRNA from 1 species